GUGGGGAAUAUUGGACAAUGGGGGGAACCCUGAUCCAGCCAUGCCGCGUGUGUGAAGAAGGCCUUUUGGUUGUAAAGCACUUUAAGCGAGGAGGAGGCUACCGAGAUUAAUACUCUUGGAUAGUGGACGUUACUCGCAGAAUAAGCACCGGCUAACUCUGUGCCAGCAGCCGCGGUAAUACAGAGGGUGCAAGCGUUAAUCGGAUUUACUGGGCGUAAAGCGCGCGUAGGUGGCCAAUUAAGUCAAAUGUGAAAUCCCCGAGCUUAACUUGGGAAUUGCAUUCGAUACUGGUUGGCUAGAGGAUGGGGGAGGAUGGGAGAAUUCCAGGUGUAGCUGUGAGAUGCGUAGAGAUCUGGAGGAAUACCGAUGGCGAAGGCAGCCAUCUGGCCUAAUACUGACACUGAGGUGCGAAAGCAUGGGGAGCAAACAGGAUUAGAUACCCUGGUAGUCC
rnacentral:rRNA from 1 species